rnacentral:rRNA from 1 species
UACGUAGGGUGCGAGCGUUAAUCGGAAUUACUGGGCGUAAAGCGUGCGCAGGCGGUUUUGUAAGCCAGAUGUGAAAUCCCCGGGCUUAACCUGGGAAUGGCAUUUGGGACUGCAAGGCUCGAGUGCGGCAGAGGAGACUGGAAUUCCUGGUGUAGCAGUGAAAUGCGUAGAUAUCAGGAGGAACACCGAUGGCGAAGGCAGGUCUCUGGGCUCACACUGACGCUCAUGCACGAAAGCGUGGGGAGCAAACAGG